rnacentral:rRNA from 1 species
GCCCAGACUCCUACGGGAGGCAGCAGUGGGGAAUAUUGCACAAUGGGGGGAACCCUGAUGCAGCGACGCCGCGUGAGCGAUGAAGUAUUUCGGUAUGUAAAGCUCUAUCAGCAGGGAAGAAGAUGACGGUACCUGACUAAGAAGCCCCGGCUAACUACGUGCCAGCAGCCGCGGUAAUACGUAGGGGGCAAGCGUUAUCCGGAUUUACUGGGUGUAAAGGGAGCGUAGACGGCGAUGCAAGCCAGAUGUGAAAGCCCGGGGCCCAACCCCAGGACUGCUCUUGGAACUGCGUGGCUGGAGUGCAGGAGGGGCAGGCGGAAUUCCUGGUGUAGCGGUGAAAUGCGUAGAUAUCAGGAGGAACACCGGUGGCGAAGGCGGCCUGCUGGACUGCAACUGACGUUGAGGCCCGAAAGCGUGGGGAGCAAACAGGAUUAGAUACCCCAGUAAAC